rnacentral:tRNA from 1 species
AGGCCGGUAGCUCAACUGGUAGAGUAGCGGUCUCCAAAACCGUUGGCUGUGGGUUCAAGUCCCGCCCGGCCUG